rnacentral:misc_RNA from 1 species
UUUUAUUUUAUUUUUUUAUAUGGAAUAUAGUUGUGUGUGUGUGGGGGGGGGGUCGCCGGGGGAGGCCAGGCUAUCAAAACUAAACCAGAAAUAUGGAGGUUGGUUCAAAAAUAUAAAUUGUCUGGUAUCCUAAUUCCAUUCCCAAACAUUGGGCCUGGCUUGCUAUUAGAGAUAGGCUUUCUGAAAUGAGGGGCAAUGAAAUGGGAAUAUUCUGCAGAUUGCCUUCACUUUGUGGUUUAGUUACUUGUGAAAGCAGAGAUUGGGGCAAUGUUUUAUGAACGUUGCAUUGCUAUAAGAUUGGGGAGCUAAUGUUUGAAUCCGUGUUAAAUUAAAAGAAGGAUUUAUACCUACACUGAGAAAGGAAAGGGUUGGUUAUUGGGAAAGGGUACUAUUGUGGUUGACUGUAAAUUUCCAAGGUUAAAACUUAUCUGAUUCAAUGGCGAAAUUGCUGCGGCCUCCUCAUAUCUAUAUUGUUUGGCUUGGGAGAAGUAUCCCUACUAAUUCAACAAACUUCAAGUAUGAAAUAUUGUAGUAAAUGAAGUACUGGGAGGCAAAACAACAACAGGAUAGAAGAGAUGUACAUUCCAUAUCCACACCGAUGUUCUGCGCUGAUUACUAAGAAUAUCAAG